rnacentral:lncRNA from 1 species
CCAAGGUGUGUGGGUGGGGGUGGGGGAGGGUCCUUCACACAUUUACAAUCGCUCUUCUCAUUUGUUAGCUGACUCCAUCUAAAACUUUGCUAUUUAUAGUCUACGCCAGGCAGCCCGAACCCUGUGCCCGAUUCCUGGUGCGGAGUGCGAGAGGUUCCCGCGGCGCCUGGCGGACAGUCUCGCUGGCCUCCUGUGACUUGUUUUGUGUUGGUUUUCCCCUCUUGCAGCCGGCGACCAAGCGGACAUCCUCGGGGACCCCCAAAGCCACCCACUCCCGAGAGCUCGGAGAGCGGCUCUGCACGAGGGACCUUAGCUACUUGCUGGUUCAUCAAUGAAGCAACCCGAAGUGAUGAAGAUGUAAGGAACGCAUCCUACGCUAGCACUGUUGCAGUUGGAAAGAGUACAUCAGAGAAAAAGAAGAAAGAAAAAAAAAAGAAAGAAAGAAAGAAAGAAAUCAGGCCAGCUCGAGUUUGGAAAAGAUAAAUAAAUCUAUUUGUUUGGCGGGUUGCAUUUUGCAUUAUGCAUGUACGUAAAAGUGAGGUUUGCUUUGAUCCUGUCUAUUAAAAGUUUAUUUUUAAACUCAGACUGGGCAGGGAUCCAGCAAUGCUCUUUGUCCUGCAACACAUCCUGGGCUUUGGGUCCCCAGCCUGGCAGAACUGUGGGGAAGCAGGAGGAAGAAGAGAACAGUGUGGAUUGUUGAUGGGUGCUCAGGGGUUUUCCCUCCCUUCCUCCCUUCCUCCCUUC